rnacentral:rRNA from 1 species
GGAGUCNNNNNNNAGGAGUCGGGCUACAUGCAGUCGACGGUCUCUUCGGAGAUGUGGCGGACGGGUGAGUAACGCGUGAGAAUCUGCCUUUAGGUUCGGGACAACAGUUGGAAACGGCUGCUAAUACCGAAUGUGUCGCAAGAUGAAAGAUUAAUUGCCUAAAGAUGAGCUCGCGUCUGAUUAGCUAGUUGGUGGGGUAAGAGCCUACCAAGGCGACGAUCAGUAGCUGGUCUGAGAGGAUGAUCAGCCACACUGGGACUGAGACACGGCCCAGACUCCUACGGGAGGCAGCAGUGGGGAAUUUUCCGCAAUGGGCGAAAGCCUGACGGAGCAACGCCGCGUGAGGGAGGAAGGCUCUUGGGUUGUAAACCUCUUUUAUCAAGGAAGAUAAUGACGGUACUUGAUGAAUCAGCAUCGGCUAACUCCGUGCCAGCAGCCGCGGUAAUACGGAGGAUGCAAGCGUUAUCCGGAAUAAUUGGGCGUAAAGCGUUCGUAGGUGGUGAUGUAAGUCUGCUGUUAAAGCGUGUAGCUUAACUACAUAUAGGCAGUGGAAACUACAUGACUAGAGUGCGUUCGGGGCAGAGGGAAUUCCUGGUGUAGCGGUGAAAUGCGUAGAUAUCAGGAAGAACACCGGUGGCGAAGGCGCUCUGCUAGGCCGUAACUGACACUGAGGGACGAAAGCUAGGGGAGCGAAUGGGAUUAGAUACCCCAGUAGUCCUAGCUGUAAACGAUGGAUACUAGGCGUUGUCUGUAUCGACCCGGACAGUGCCGUAGCUAACGCGUUAAGUAUCCCGCCUGGGGAGUACGCACGCAAGUGUGAAACUCAAAGGAAUUGACG